UACGUAGGGUGCGAGCGUUAAUCGGAAUUACUGGGCGUAAAGCGUGCGCAGGCGGUUUUGUAAGCCAGAUGUGAAAUCCCCGGGCUUAACCUGGGAAUGGCAUUUGGGACUGCAAGGCUUGAGUGCGGCAGAGGAGACUGGAAUUCCUGGUGUAGCAGUGAAAUGCGUAGAUAUCAGGAGGAACACCGAUGGCGAAGGCGGCCAACUGGCCCGAUACUGACGCUCAUGUGCGAAAGCGUGGGGAGCAAACAGG
rnacentral:rRNA from 1 species